rnacentral:rRNA from 1 species
UUAUUUGAAAUAGGAUACAACCUAUAACACUGGGUAAACAAGAGUAAUUUUAACAAAGUGGGCCUAAGAGCAGCCAUCUUUUAAAAAGCGUCACAGCUUAACUUCCCUAAUACUUCUAAUUAGUACACCUCCCCUCAACCCUUCACCAAUACUGAACUUUUUUAUAUUACUAUAAAAAUUAUUAUGCUAGAACUAGUAACAAGAAAUUGUCCUUCUCCUAAAUGUAAACAUAAGUCAUAACGGACCCCCCAUUGACACUUAACGUAAAUGUAUGCAUAUAUAGUAACACUUGUCGAGAAAACCCUAUAAUUUUAAACGUUAACCUUACACUAGAACAUUACAGGAAAGAUUAAAAGAGAGAGAAGGAACUCGGCAAAUCUUAGCCCCGCCUGUUUACCAAAAACAUCGCCUCUUGAUUCCUAUAAGAGGUCCAGCCUGCCCGGUGACAAAGUUUAACGGCCGCGGUACCCUAACCGUGCAAAGGUAGCAUAAUCACUUGUUCUCUAAAUAAGGACUAGUAUCAACGGCAUCACGAGGGCUAUACUGUCUCCUCUCCCUAAUCAGUGAAACUGAUCUCCCCGUGAAGAAGCGGGGAUAUAUUU